AUUUCACCUGAGUGACCGGAAGGGAGGGAGCCUGGCUCCACCCCUCCUAGACCCCUAGACUCCAGCUAGAGAUCCUUCGUCUUAGAGCCCUUCGGUGAGCCCAGGACACAGUGCUUGAAUAAUGUUGUCCUGGGAUAGUCAAUGAUUGAUACAUCACCUUUCCCUGAAAUUAUACUUUUUCAUACUCUUCUCCAGCAUAUAAAGUGUGUCACAAGAAGUCAUCACAGCAUGAAGAACAGACCUGAAUGAAAAACUUUUAUGAAAAAGAAGUCAGAUAUAGCUCUUUUAACAUUUCAUAAAAAUUGUGGACCCAAUCUCUACAAAAGAUUGAGCUGUAUAAAACUUUGUUGCUUUUUUUGUUUGGUUUGUUUUUAAACAGAGAGAAAACUAAUGGUACUGUAGGUAAAAUAGCCAAGACCACUUACAAAGAAAAACUUUAAACCUGUAAUACUCUUUGCAAAGCUAUUUUGUUGUGGAGCUCACAAGCAUGCAUACUAACUGAAAACAGUAUAAAUUAUGAAGAGUGUCAUUCUGAGUGUCUCUAACUACCAAGUAAGGCAAAGAGAUUUACAGUUUUCAGAAAGAAGCAGUAUUCUUCCUUGUAGAAGUAAGGAACAAAGGAGUUAUUUAUAACUAUCUGUAAUGAAGAAGUGCCAACAGCAGUUUGCGUUUUGCAUUGUACUUUUGAUGUUGACAGUGAUGGUAUGUUUAUUGUUCUGUUGUCACAUAGCAUGACAAGAAAUUUUUGCUCACAUAAUUAUAACACUGUUUUUUUCAGACUGUGUCAUAGUUUAAAUAUAAACUAUAAUAGUGGUAAGCUUUCUCCUAGCGGAAAGUUAUGUUUAAACAUAACUGAUCUUAUCUCAUGAUUGUCUGGAGAAAAAAAAUGAAUCGAAUAAUCAAAACACUGCUUUUCACAGGAGGUAGAAUAUUGUGCUCAUCAGCUAGAAACAAGGCAGACCUCAAUGAUACAUUAUCAAUCCUCUUCCAUGGACUGAAUGCAGUCUUCAG
rnacentral:lncRNA from 1 species